UCCGGCUACUAUACUAUUAUGAGUACAAUCGCCCUCGUACUAAUAAGUUGUUUUUGAUGAUAGAGCUUCCGAAUCGACGAUCCACACCGUUAAAUGUUAUCUAGAGUAUUUGAAACAUCUAGAAAUCAAAUUUCAUAAUUUGUAUUUGAAAGAUCUAGAAAUCAAAUUUCAUAAUUUUUCGACAUCAUUUACCUUACGAUCAAAAGCUCACAAAAUUGAUAAUUUUUAAUGGCCGGUAUGGAAUACUUGCUAGUUUAACGGUGCAAAAGAAUCCGAAUAGGUUGAAUUUUUAAUAGAAAAUUCUAUUCACUACCUAGAUAAAGAUCAAUAACUCCGAUUUUAAAAUUUCUGGAUCCGAUCAUUCAUUUUGAAGACAUCGUUCGAUUUUGACUGUUCAUUUUAUGCCCGCUUGAUGGACUUUAUUAUGAUUUCGCAAAAUUACGAAAUUUAUUUUCUAGAAGUUUCAAAUACUCUACAUCAUAUUUAACGGAGUGGAUCAUCGAUUCGGAAGCUCCAUCAUCGAAAACAACUUAUGAGUACAAAGGGCCCAAUACUCAUAAUAGUAUAGUAGCCCUACUCUAUACAUAUACAUAUACAUAUACAUAUACAUAUAUAUAUACACCUUUUCAAGCAUGCUUUUUAAAUAUUUAUUCAUAGAUCCUAUGAAAAUCUUACUUAACUGCGUAAGUUUCUAUGCUCUUAAGUACUUUGCCAUAUUUCUAUGCAAAGGUUGAUGCGUGAGUAAUUAGUCAAAAUUAUCGAUAGAAGGUUAUUGUUUAAUGAGUUAGUUUGUUCUGAUCAUUUGAGCCUUUCCUCAUGAAACCCUUGUCGGUGUCUAUGUUUGUUUCCGUGUGUUUGAUUGUUGUUGAGUCAUUUCUAGAUAUAUAAUGUACCAAGGCCUCCUUUAUUAUACUACUGUGCUGUUUGUUUUCUUAAACUUAAUAUAUAUUUCAUCCAAAGGAGUAUGCAUCUGCACCGUCGUGUGACCGAUAGUUUGCAAUUCACAUAUCUAUAGAAUUUUUGGCAAUAUAUAUCUAUGUAGAAAUUAUAUGAGAUUAGAAGCCCCCAAAAAAACUCAAUCUCUCUACAGCUUUAACUGCUAUACUUUGAACCAACUUUCCUUUUUAGAGGGUUAGUUCAUGCUCUCCAUGUGUUCUUAAUUUGCAUGCAAAUUAAUACUUUGUUUUUGCUACAUGUAACUGUAGUAUAAAUAUUUUCCUGUAAGGACUGAGAUUUUUGCAGUGUAGCUAAACUCUCAGUUGACGAUGUUUUUGUGUGUAAUUUAAUUACAAAAGCACUCGUCAAGUUUCGGGCGAAAUCGAGUUAAAACGGAAAUUCUACGCGAUUUUCAAGUUUCACUUAAAGUGAAUAGUAACUCGAUUUUCCGGAGAAGCCGCGGUGAGAAGUUGGCUUCUGGCUCGUACCGGACUCUGUUCAUAGCAUUCCAAUAGCUCGUUUCGACCGGGUCAGCUAUUCUGGAACUAAUGGCGCUGACGGAUUUUGGUUUUGACUCACGGAUUUCGAGAAAAUCCAAAAAUACAUGUUUUAUAUG
rnacentral:lncRNA from 1 species